rnacentral:rRNA from 1 species
GACGAACGCUGGCGGCGUGCUUAACACAUGCAAGUCGAGCGGUAAGGCCCUUCGGGGUACACGAGCGGCGAACGGGUGAGUAACACGUGGGUGACCUGCCUCUAGCUCUGGGAUAAGCCUGGGAAACUGGGUCUAAUACCGGAUAUGACUCCACGGCGCAUGUUGUGGGGUGGAAAGCCUUGUGUGGCUAGAGAUGGGCCCGCGGCCUAUCAGCUUGCUGGUGGGGNGAUGGCCUACCAAGGCGACGACGGGUAGCCGGCCUGAGAGGGCGACCGGCCACACUGGGACUGAGACACGGCCCAGACUCCUACGGGAGGCAGCAGUGGGGAAUCUUGCGCAAUGGGCGAAAGCCUGACGCAGCGACGCCGCGUGAGGGA